GACGAACGCUGGCGGCGUGCUUAACACAUGCAAGUCGAGCGGUAAGGCCCUUUCGGGGGUACACGAGCGGCGAACGGGUGAGUAACACGUGGGUGACCUGCCCUCAGCUCUGGGAUAAGCCUGGGAAACCGGGUCUAAUACUGGAUAUGACUCCAUGACGCAUGUUGUGGGGUGGAAAGCCUUGUGCGGCUGAGGAUGGGCCCGCGGCCUAUCAGCUUGUUGGUGGGGUGAUGGCCUACCAAGGCGACGACGGGUAGCCGGCCUGAGAGGGCGACCGGCCACACUGGGACUGAGACACGGCCCAGACUCCUACGGGAGGCAGCAGUGGGGAAUCUUGCGCAAUGGGCGAAAGCCUGACGCAGCGACGCCGCGUGAGGGAUGACGGCCUCGGUG
rnacentral:rRNA from 1 species